rnacentral:rRNA from 1 species
UGUGGGGGGAAUUUUGCAUAUCAAAUAGCGGAGCAAAAGAAACCAACAGGGAUUGCCCCAGUAACGGCGAGUGAAGCGGCAACAGCUCAAAUUUGAAAUCUGGCCCCCCGGCCCGAGUUGUAAUUUGGAGAGGAUGCUUUUGGCGCGGCGCCGUCCGAGUUCCUUGGAACAGGACGCCACAGAGGGUGAGAGCCCCGUACGGACGGACGCCUAGCCUCUACAAAGCUCCUUCGACGAGUCGAGUAGUUUGGGAAUGCUGCUCAAAAUGGGAGGUAAAUUUCUUCUAAAGCUAAAUACCGGCCAGAGACCGAUAGCGCACAAGUAGAGUGAUCGAAAGAUGAAAAGCACUUUGAAAAGAGGGUUAAAAAGUACGUGAAAUUGUUGAAAGGGAAGCGCCUGUGACCAGACUUGCGCCCCGUGGACCACCCGGCGUUCUCGCCGGUGCACUCCGCGGGGCGCAGGCCAGCAUCGGUUUUCCUAGGGGGACAAAGGCCGCGGGAACGUAGCUCCUUCGGGAGUGUUAUAGCCCGCGGCGGCAUGCCCCUGGGGGGACCGAGGACCGCGCUCGGCAAGGAUGCUACGUAAGACAC